rnacentral:lncRNA from 1 species
GUCCUAAAGAGCUUUCCAGUUCUACCCUUUUGAAACCUAAGAAUUAGAGUUGCCCAAGAAUACAGUAGGAUGGAUUAGAAGUGCCUGGCAUAUAGGAGGUAGUUAAUAAAAUUGGCAAAUGAAAGGUAGGAAAUCCUCUGUUAAUGGAGAUGUUUAAGUGGAAUCUUUGAUGACCUGUUCUUGGAGAUAUUUUGGAAGUGACUCCUUCUUCAAGGAUGGAUUGGACUAGGGGACAUCUAAAACACUAUAAUUAUAGGAUAAAAGGCAAAUUAAGUUGCUGUAAAGUGAGUAUGCCUGACUCCUGGGAUUUUCCCUGAACUGAUCAUUUCUAGAGUAAUAGAAUGAAUUUAAUGGAUUUUCCUAGUUCUUUAUUGAUGGCUUUCUCCUCUAAACCAGGAAGGCAAUUUUCCUGUAGGUGGUCCUUGCUCUUGCUUUUGGGAUUGCUGAAGCUAUUUGGGAUUGCUGAAGCUCUCACCCUGGCAGAAACAUCUACAGGUAUUUCUUCUUUACCCAUGGGAGAGGCAAAAGUGACUUCAAGGAUAGGGGAAAAUGCCACCCUUUAUUUUAGGGCAGACUUCCAGUUAUCAAAUCUCAGUGUUACCUGGUAUCGCCUCAGCCAGCAUGGACCAAACACCGUGGUGUAUAGUUAUCAUUUUGAAGCUGAGCAGAUAGAGGACCAGACUACGGAAUUCCAGAAGCGUGUCUCCCACUCCAUCAAGCCAGGGGAGGUGAUGCUGACUUUGAAGGAUGUGAGACUGCAAGACAGUGGGACAUACAAAUGUAUCGUGGAGGAUAGCCAACAUUCAGUACAGGGAUAUGUGAUUCUCCAGGUGACAGCCCCAAAAGAAACUUUACACGAGGAUGAGGACUCAGUGGUGAUUUAUUCAGUGUUGGGGCUCUUCCUUGCAGGCCUGAUGGUGUGGAUGAUUUCCUUCAGCAUUUUAUAUAAAUGGGGAGACCAGGAGCACCCCCAGGAACUAGGAAAUAUGACAUGA